AACGAACGCUGGCGGCGUGCCUAAUACAUGCAAGUCGAGCGAGAAAAGGGGGGCAACUCCCUGAGUACAGCGGCGCACGGGUGAGUAACACGUAGGUAACCUACCCUCGAGCCCGGGAUAACCUACCGAAAGGUGGGCUAAUACCGGAUAUGACCACGGGAGUUUCGGCUCCUGCGGUGAAAGAUGGCCUAUGCUUGCACGCUAUUACUUGAGGAGGGGCCUGCGCGCCAUUAGCUAGUUGGCGGGGUAAUGGCCCACCAAGGCUAUGAUGGCUAGCUGGGCUGAGAGGAAGGCAAGCCACACUGGGACUGAAACACGGCCCAGACUCCUACGGGAGGCAGCAGUAGGGAAUAUUGCGCAAUGGGCGAAAGCCUGACGCAGCGACGCCGCGUGGGUGAUGAAGGCCUUCGGGUCGUAAAGCCCUGUCGAGGGGGACGGACCGGUCGCGACCGAAUACGUCGCGGCCCUGACGGUACCCCUAAAGGAAGCACCGGCUAACUCCGUGCCAGCCGCCGCCGUAA
rnacentral:rRNA from 1 species